UGGAUCCAGCUUUGAUCCUGGCUCAGGAUGAACGCUAGCUACAGGCUUAACACAUGCAAGUCGAGGGGAAACGACAUUGAAAGCUUGCUUUUGAUGGGCGUCGACCGGCGCACGGGUGAGUAACGCGUAUCCAGCCUGCCCACCACUUGGGGAUAACCUUGCGAAAGUAAGACUAAUACCCAAUGACGUCUCUAGAAGGCAUCUGAAAGGGAUUAAAGAUUUAUCGGUGAUGGAUGGGGAUGCGUCUGAUUAGCUUGUUGGCGGGGUAACGGCCCACCAAGGCUACGAUCAGUAGGGGUUCUGAGAGGAAGGUCCCCCACAUUGGAACUGAGACACGGUCCAAACUCCUACGGGAGGCAGCAGAGAGGAAUAUUGGUCAAUGGACGAGAGUCUGAACCAGCCAAGUAGCGUGCAGGAUGACGGCCCUAUGGGUUGUAAACUGCUUUUAUAAGGGAAUAAAGUGAGUCUCGUGAGACUUUUUGCAUGUACCUUAUGAAUAAGGACCGGCUAAUUCCGUGCCAGCAGCCGCGGUAAUACGGAAGGUCCGGGCGUUAUCCGGAUUUAUUGGGUUUAAAGGGAGCGUAGGCCGGAGAUUAAGCGUGUUGUGAAAUGUAGAUGCUCAACAUCUGCACUGCAGCGCGAACUGGUUUCCUUGAGUACGCACAAAGUGGGCGGAAUUCGUGGUGUAGCGGUGAAAUGCUUAGAUAUCACGAAGAACUCCGAUUGCGAAGGUAGCUCACUGGAGCGCAACUGACGCUGAAGCUCGAAAGUGCGGGUAUCGAACAGGAUUAGAUACCCUGGUAGUCCGCACGGUAAACGAUGGAUGCCCGCUGUUGGUUCUGAAUAGGUCAGCGGCCCAAGCGAAAG
rnacentral:rRNA from 1 species